rnacentral:tRNA from 1 species
GGGGGUAUAGCUCAGCUGGUUAGAGCAGUCCGCUCAUAACGGAUUGGUCGGGAGUUCAAGUCUCUCUACCCCUACCA